GGCAGAGCGGGUGGCUGGGGCAGAGUGGGAAGGAGGUCAGAAGACUGAGCGGGACCUGCACCUAUGGCGUUGGCUUCCUAAGUUGAGCCUUGCACCUCUCCGCGCUCGGAGCCCGACUGGACUCAUAAUAACAAGAGUAAUCAAUAGAAACACAAAGGAAUUCAGAAGAACAGAUACCAGAAGACUAAAGACUAUUGAUCAUUUUACCCUUCUGUUAAAAGGAUGUUUUCUUUUAUUUAAAAUGAUUAUAUUUUUCCAAAAUAUCUUUGAAAUAAAGACAUUUUUUUCUUCCUUGGCUCUGUUCUGAAUCACUGAGGGCUGGACCAAUGAUUUGAGGGACUCAAGUUAGUUCAGUGUAGUAGAGCUAAUUAAUAUUGUAGAAGAGGUUUGCCUUAUAAGAUUGUUUUGCAUUUGGGUGAAAUUAAGAGUGAGUCUUAAGCUUUUGUUCUA
rnacentral:lncRNA from 1 species